GUUCUUUGUGCUGUGCAGGAUGUGGUUAGGGCUGGUGGUUAUUCGUUAGUUUUGUCGUUGCUGGUUGCCCCCUGCUGGUGCCCUUGACCAUUUGAUUGCUAGGAUCUGCUAUUCCAGUUGUUGGAAGAAGAUUGUCAGGUUCUCCUUUUGGCACAUCGCAGGUGAUAUUUUUUAUCUAUUUCUUUGUUUAAUAUCCUUUUAUUGCAUUAUUUAACUUAUAAAUUGCUUCUCAUGUAUUGAUUGUAGCUUAUUAUAUCGUGAGCUUAGUUACUUUUAUUUCAGGUGAUAUUGGUAGGAACAUGAGGAGCCUCCAUUUCAGAGGUGCUGUUGUUGCUGCGGGUUGGUGCUUGGGGUUCGCAGCAGUUCCUCCAUGCACAGGUUCAUCUCUUAAUCAUACUAGCUUAGUUGUAGUGUUAAAUCAUGAGCUUAGUUACUUCCUUAGGCUGCCCUGCUGGAUGCCAUUUUCAGGUUGCUGUGUACCUACGAAUAGUUCAUUGGUACCUAGGUUCUACUCCCUCCGUCCCAAAAUACUUGUCGGAGCAAUGGAUAAAAAUGGAUGUAUGUAGAACUAAAAUACAUCUAGAUACAUCCAUUUCUCCGACAAGUAUUUUCGGACGGAGAGAGUAUGUUUCAUAUCUACUAUCUGUAGGAAGGAGAUUUUUUAUUAGAUGAGGGUUAUUUUUUUUCCUAAAAUAGCAAGGUACUUUAACUUGUAGUUCUAGGUUAUUUGAUGAGAUCAAGGUUCUGAAUGCAUUUUUUAUUUUUUAUGCUCAGAAGAAAGAAAUAUUUUGUUUGACACCAGAUGUAUGUAGGCAUGGUCAUGGCGUUGAUGCGGAGAAGCUCAACGACAAUGGCAUACCACUGUUCAUUUUGACAUCGGACAGGGUAGUAUCAAUCUUUAUGCGUAAGUAUGUACUGCACAUACUCGUCUUAACUAAGUGUUCUUCUUUUCCAUGUGUACUGCCUCACCCAUAUCUCCAGGCUCAGGUAGUAUAUCUUUCCGUGACUAAAAACUAAUACCUUCACACUGACUGCUCUCCCUCUUAAUUAUGUGUGUUACUGAUUACCAUGAUAGGAGCCCUCCUUCCAUUAGGGCCAGGAAGAUUUUCGAAAAAAUGUUUAGGUAGUUGCUCUUUUUACAAAAUUAACUUACUCCCUAUUUCAUGUUGUUUAUGCACCUCUUUCCUAUUUCUCUGUUUCAGAUAAUGGUCGUGAAUUCAUAUGUUUGCACUCUAGAGUGUGUAAUUUGUGGAGGAAGGUGUAGUUUAUGUGAAUAAUCAGUUCGUGCUUUUAUCAUGAGUAUAGUACAUUCAAAAUUAACAAAAGCAAGAAUACAUAGCAGCGAUGUCGAUCAUGUAGGCUAUGAAAUUGCAUGUUUGUUGUUCCAGUAUGCAAAUUUACCAUGAUGUGGCAAGAGGUGCUUCCCUUUGUGAUGAUUAGUUUUCGCGAGAGGAUUUCCGUGAGGUUCUAUGCAAUGUCACAACGUUUGAUCUGAUCUUGGAGAAUCCACUGCUCAGAUCUUCAAUUAUUGGGAUUUCUUUUCUUGGUAGUUAAAGAUACCAAUUUGUUUGCAGCUUCUUGGAAUUUCUAGAGAAAUAAUUGGUAUAGAUUAACAAUGCAUGGUGCUAUGCUUGCAAAUGAUUUGGAUGGUAAAUACUAAAUAGUCCAGCAAACUAAAAAAAUGGAGUAGAGUCUUGGCCAAUGGGUCACCCUCAACUUCUUGAUGAUUGCAUGAACAACUCUAGAUGAUCAUGGAAAUCUUUCUGAUUGCUGCUUGGAGUCUCUGGAAGGAGCGUAAUAACAAUUAUUUUAGACAUGUGGUGCCUUCCGUUGACUUGUGGUGGACUAGGUUCAAGAUUGACUUUGGUAACCUUCUUUAUAGAAUGCCCAUUCAUAAGAGACAUGUUGUCUCUUCCAUUUUGCAAACUCUAAACUAAGGGUUUCAUUAGUUUUGGAACGUGUAGCUCAGUAGUGUCUAAC
rnacentral:lncRNA from 1 species